UCUGAGAGCUGAGCGUGCACAACGUUUAUAUUUUCUUCUUAUUUCUUUGUAAUGUUAAAUUGAUUCAAGUGUGUUGAGCCUUUUUUUAUUUUGAUGUGCUUUGCUGUCCUUGUUUUUCAACUCAACCAAUGACUUAAGUCAUAUAAUGUAAAUAGUGACAUUUUGUUUAAUACAUUUGAAAAACAAACUAAAUCGGCCAUCAUCGAAAAUCUACAAGAAAAUUUGAUGAACAUUGAUGCUUCACCUGAUGACAGUACACCAUCUCCUAUCGCUGAAACAAGGAAAUGUGAAGGAACAAGGAAAUUCAUCUACGUCAUAUGACGAAAGCCAGAAUGACGUGGAAAAACAUAUGGAUAUCGUAACUAACAAUGUACAACAAUACAAUGUUGCCCUUUUAAAUGGAAUCGCAAAAUUGUACAACUCACUGAAAGAUAGAAAAUCAUCUAUGGAACGUUCCAUCGAAGACCAUAUAAAACAGUCCAAAACAACAUUGAAGUCCAUGGUUUCAAGUUCGGCAGAAAUUGCAAAAUUGAAAAAAUCACUAGAUGAAAAUAUUCAAGAAAAUAACAAACAGAAAAAACGAAUUUACGAGUUGGAAAACGAAAUUGUGCGUUGAGUGCGGAGAACAAAUGGAUCCAAUUCGUUAUUGCCGUACUGCUUGCGUUGACGCUGCCAUUGUACGACGAAGUAAGGAGCUCAUGAAGGAAAACUCCAAAUAACAUUGCAAUUGGAUAAAAUGGAACUAGGGGUGUCCUUAUUUUGCACAAGUUCGAAUUUCAACAAGCGCAACUCGGAUUAUUGUUCCAUUUGGUCCCAAAUGACCACAGAAAAAAUUUGGUACCGAUCGGAGAACUCCUGAUAGAAGCGGAAAGAACCUAAAUUUUUAAA